rnacentral:rRNA from 1 species
UACGUAGGGCGCAAGCGUUAUCCGGAAUCAUUGGGUUUAAAGGGUCCGUAGGCGGGUUAAUAAGUCAGUGGUGAAAGUCUGCAGCUCAACUGUAGAAUUGCCAUUGAUACUGUUAACCUUGAGUAAUUAUGAAGUGGUUAGAAUAUGUAGUGUAGCGGUGAAAUGCAUAGAUAUUACAUAGAAUACCGAUUGCGAAGGCAGAUCACUAAUAAUUCACUGACGCUGAGGGACGAAAGCGUAGGUAGCGAACAGG